CAGUUCUGUGUGUGCGUUACGCAACCCCCGCACCCCCACACUCCCACCCCCCUCCCCCCACACACACAAACCCAGCUCUCCCUCACACUCCACCCCACACACGUAAGCGAGCUUUCACAGCAAAGAAUCAGGCCGAAACCUUUUUUUUCCUUCGGCCUCUCUCUCCGUGUAUGUGUGAGCCUGUGUGUGUGCGUAUAUUCGUGCAAGUGUGCGAGUGGGUCAGUAUUGUUGUUGUUGCUGUGCCUUUCAGCUUGUGAGAUCGUGCGCGUCUCCUUCUCUGUGUGCGUGUGUGCGAGUGUGGAGCGAAAAAGUGAUAGGGUGGCUGCGUGCUGUGCGCCUCGACCAUUGCGGCGUGUGGCUCCCUUCGGUAGUCUUCUUGCCCUUUCCACCACCGCACCCCUCACAGUGACUUGCCCUUCCCUCUUUCUUCCUUUCCUUUUCCUCUCCUGCUUCACCUCUUGUUGUACUUUCUCGGGGACUGCGCUGCUCUCCUCUCCAUUCCGCCACACAUUCCACACCGUUCCGUCGCCCUCUCGACAUCCAAACACUCGACGCACGCCUGCUGGGUCUGCGCGUGUUCGCGCUUCCACUGCCAGCGAGGUGCGGAUACGAAGAGAGAGGGAACACACAGGCGGGUGCGAGGCGGGGGAGCAGCGGCGAAGGAGAGCGCUAUCGCCGCUCACAUAAGGGCACGCAAGACAAGCUCACAUCUGCCACACACGAGCGCGUUUUGUAGUUUGGCUUGUUUCGUGUUGGUUGCUUUUUUUGUUUCUUUCUGUCUGUGUUGUUCGCUGGCCUCCUGUGUGCUCGUCUGGUUCUCUUGCCUCGGAGGCCUCUCUCCUUUUCUCAGUCCGUCUGUAUCUCGCAGUCUCGACAGCGUGCGGUGGGGCAAGCGGGUUGUGCUGCAGCCCUCCUUCGGACUUUUCCUCUUUUUCUCUCUCAACACAAAGUCACGCUGCAGCCACGUGUGUGCCUGUGCGUGCGCUUACACUGGCAGCUGGCGCCUCUCACUCUUGUUGCCGCGCCUGUGAACGGUGUGUCUCGUCUGGCGCUCUCUGUUCUCCUUCCCUGUGAUCUCCCUGUCGUCUCUCCUUCCGAGCAUCGUCGUCGCGUGACUUGCGCGCCGUGCGUGCGCAGCUGGCUCUCUUUUUUUUGUUCGUAUUCUGGGUGUUCUCGGCGUAGACGCGAACAAGAAGACAAAACGAGGGAAGAAGCGCGCGCUCUCUGUGUGUGUUCAUCUUCUUUUCGGCUCCUGCUGCUGUAUCGGUUGACACUUCACGCGGCCUCAUUUAACGGUUCUCCCCUUCCCUCGCUACUUCAACUCCCUCCUUCCUUCACUCCGCAUAAUCAUCUUGUCUUCGACUGCUGGUUGCCCUCCUCUCGUGCGUGCGUGUGUGCCUCUCUCUGUUUCUGUUCCUACAAGGACUGGUUUCGUCUUUCUCCCUUUCCAGGCUGUCGCUGUGCCUAUCACCCCCCACACCCUCCUCGUCCCUCUUCUCUCUCGUGCUGCGUGUAUAUCUUUGCGUGCUGUCGCCCUUGUGCACUUGACGUAUCUCUCUCUGCCUGUGCAUCUGUUUCUGUUUCGUUCUCUAGAGUCGGUUGUGUGUGUGUGUGUGUCUCCUUACGGGCCCUGCUUCCGUUUUCGCUUCUCUUGCUGUCCCCCCUCCUCUCCAUCCUCUCCUUCCCCUUGCUUCUUUACCGAGAGCCGCACAACGAAUUCUCUCCAACACACACACACACACACACACACACACGCCGCUCUCUCUUUGUAUAUCCAUAUUGGUGUUUAUGCUUUUGGGCAUCUCGCGGCGUCCGAUUUUGAACGUGCCAAGCUCUCUAUCGCUUGCAUCACCUACUGCCGUGGCGGCGCCGUCCAUCACACACGCGUCUUUUUGGCGACGAGGACGACUGCUGCUUCUUCUCGCCUCCUUCCCUCUCCCCUCUCUCUCGGUUAUCUGUUUUCUUCGCCUGUUGCGAGAGCUUCCCGCCUCUCCCUCCUUUUUUCGUGCGCUGUAGUGGCCGCCCGCCCUCCGUCUCCCCUCUCUGUUGUUCGGUGGCUCUCUUUCUCUGCAUCUGGACAUCUCUUUCGGUUCAGCUGGCUCGCUCACAACCACAGACACACACACAAGCACACACGCGCACAUCCUCCUCUUCCCUCCUUUUUUUUUCGCGCAUCUCUCGAGAGCUGCUCUUUCUUUUCGUCCCCCUCUGUGUUGGAGACUCUCUCACCUGUGAGCCGCGUGGCGAGUCGUCGUCGCUGAUACGCCUGCUCCCCUCUCUCCUGUGCCGCUUUAUGGGUCUUCGCUCGUCCUCAGGUUUCUCUCUAGUUGUGUGUACCACUCAGAAAGACGAACGGCCCUCUCCACCUCCUCGACUCCGCAGAACAGUGCUCCAACAGACAGCUGAUAGGAGGCCUCGGGGGAGAGAACAACUCCGUCCACGGUGCUCCUUUUCUAUUACUAGAUAUCUGUAGCGUCGGACGCAGAGACAAUAAUGGAGGGCUCGAGCAACAGCCUUGGCUCUGGUGGCGGUCUCGCGACGGCUGUGGCCAAGCCUGGCAUGCAACAUGGCGCUAGCAGCAAGGCCAAGUCUCUCACUUCAAUGCCAGCUCGCAGUGGCACCGGUGCGGGGGCAGCAGAGGCUUCUCUAGGUGAUACAGCAGAUCCCAUUAGUAUACACCACCUACCUCCUCCGCCGCCUUCCCAGCUGACGACCUCUGGCGCUGACGCCGAGGCCCCACACGUGGUCUUGGGCGGCCGGGGUCCUGCUGGUGGUAGCACGGUGACAUCCUUCGCCACUCCCGUGGCCAGCGAUGGGCCUGUGGCGGUGCGUAGUGGCAUGUAUCCCUCCUCACGGCGUCAGGGAGGGGCGGCGGCGUCAGUCGGCGCUCGUUCGAUGCUGCCUAGGGCAGGUGCGAGCAGCGCAGCUAUGCCGGCCGCGUACUGUGGAGGAGAGGACGCCAACGGUGAGUCGUCGGCACCCAACACGGGCUACUACUACAGCAAGUACUACGGUAGCGACCAAGCGAGCUACUACAGCUCAAGCACCUACGGCUACUACAAUAACCAAGGCGAGUACCCAGGAGGUGGUGGCGGCAGCAGCGGCUCGACGAACAUGCCCUACGGAUCUACCUCUGGCCCCAUGGCAGGUAGCACCAGCAGCGGCGCAGGGGCGAGUGACGGCCAAUCAGUGCCCGUGUACUCUUUUCCCUACCAACCGUCAUCGUCCGCGACGGCGAAUCCACAGCAACACCCGAACCAGCCCCCUGCCCAAUACCAGCAGUCACAGCGACAGCAGCCACCGCAGCCACCGCAGCCGCCGCCGCCGCCGCCACAACAGCAGCAGUCUCAGCAUUCACCGCAGCACCAGUCGCCCUACAGCCCACAGAUGCCAGCCACGGAGCAGGGUAGCAGUGCCUAUCAGAGCUAUUAUCAGCAGACCUACCAGCCACCGCAGCAGCCGCGGCCGCAGCAGCUCCCAAUCACAGCCUCCACCUCUCAAAGCUUAGGCGGGGAGAGUCAGUACUACGGCUACUACUACAGAAGCGGCUCUGACCCGCGUCGCGGCCACGCCCGCACGGCGAGCGGCGGCAGCGGGGCGCACUACUACAGCUCGCAACAACAGCAGCAGCAACACGGAUACCCGCCGUCAUCAUCCGGCGAGGGGGAGGCACUCUGCAAUCAGGGCAGCAAUAUGCAGAGCAGCAGUCAAGGGGGCGCCACAGAGGGCUACUACCAGCAAUAUGCUCAAUGCCCAGCAUACUCAUUUCAGGGCUCUCCGCCUUCUGCACAGCAGCAGCAUUCCUCCUACAUGGGUGGGGAGGGCCAAAACUCCUCCGUCUCCGCGUCAUACGGCCUCGCCGUGCAUGCCGCGAGCAGGGGCAGCCAGCCUUGCAGCACCACUACUAGCGCUUACGGUGGCGAGAGCGAUGCCACACAGGGUACCUCGGCGGCGCGCUACGCCGGUGGCGCGUAUGGCCAGCCAGAUAACGCAGGCAGCAACAUGAACGGGUCCGAAGGUGGCGGCGUUGGCGGGCGUGGUUAUGGUUCUAGCACUGCAGCAGCAGCUGCGGGUAAUGGCGGCGCUGGUGCCGGCGGCGGUAGUGCAAGUGGAGGCUACUACGGCGUCGCCUACUCCAGCGGCUAUAGCGCACCAGCGCCGCAUGCAUCUCGCGCACGAGGUGUGCCGUAUAGAGACGCCGGCGGUGACACCGGCGGCAUGCCGCUCGGCCCCGCCAGUGGCAAGAGCGGCCAGGCAGCGGCCAGUGGCAGUUACCUAUCUCCACAGCAAGGGAGCGGGGCUGAGGUUGAGGAUGGCGGCCAGUCGUAUCACGGCUACGCGGCGAACGGAUACCGCGACUACUACGCGGCUGCGAAUCAGAUCGGCAGCAGCGGGAUCAGUCCUGGGUACGGUUACCCGGCAGGCCAAGCCUCGCCACAGCAGCAAACCAUCGCCUAUCAUGCCUCCUAUGCCUGCGGAGAGGCGCAGCCGGGCUCAUCCGCCGCUGCAUCGCCGCCGGUCACUGAAAACCACCAACGCGGCAGCGGAGGCCCACCUCAGCCACCUCAGCCGCCGCAGCAGCAGUACCAGCGGGGUGGCAGCUUCUACGCGGCUGAUCCUCGCUUUGGCGGUGGGGGUGAUAGCAAUGGUGGCAGCUACGACGCUCACGGCUACACCCCUCAUCAUCCGCAGCAGCAACAGCAGCAGGGAUACCACCGUGGUUACAGCGGCUCCUCGCAUCCGCAGUACCGGGCUGACGCAAGGCCGGGCGGAGCAUCGAUGCCCGUCAGCCGCACCUCUCAGUACGUGUCGCAGCCACCUGAGACGGCGCCGCGGCGUUACAAUGUUGCGGAGGAGCAAGGCAAGAAUGACAGGGCAGAGGAGCUUGUCAGGACGCAGGCUUCGGACGACAUGGUGCCGAUGUCGUUGGUGAGGAGCGGGGGUCACAGCAGGAGCAACAGCAGCGGCAACGGUCGCGGCGACGGCGGCGUUGGCAGUGUGGCCCCCGCGCCAUCCCGCAAGAGAGGGAAAAAGGGAGGGAACAGCGGCACCGAUCGUGUGCAGUCUGCUGCACAAACUGAGGGGGCACCUGAAGCAGCGGAGAAGGAUGGGAAGCAUGGGACGUGCGGCCAACGCAGUGCUGAGGUCAGCACUCAAGUCGCGCCUGCGUCCGCGAAGAGUGCGGAGUACAAGCGGCAGGCCUCGUCUCAGCAGGCGGACGCGCCGAUCCCGGAGCAAACAUUGCGUACACGCGAGCCACUCGUUUCACUAGAGUUGCCACCCUCCUCGCUGAACGCGCCACAUCCCCAGCAACCGCCACCGCAGAAUGCGGGUGAGGACAGCACUACCGACAGGAGCGACAGAGUGCCGAAGGACGCGGCCCGUUCGCAGCAGACGAGUGAUCGCUGCAUGCCUCCCAAGGGUAGCGUGACUGCAGCGGCGCACGACAGCGGUGAGUCUUCGCUAAGCGGAGCGGAGGACAACGCUGAUGAAGAGGCUGAAGCUGACUACGCCACCGAGACUUUCAUGAACAGCAAGCGUGAUACGGCCACAUCAGCCAUGACUGCGAUUCCAGUUGGCCGCCAAGGUGCCGGCUCCACUGGCAGCGGGAGUCGCAGCCAGCCGCAGCACCGCAGCAGCAGCACCGAGCGCAGUGCUGCGCACGCGAGCUCUGUAUCACAUGGCAGCGGCAGCGGCAGUGGUGCGCAGAGCUUCCUGCGGCCCUCUCCGCUGACGCAGUGUCUCGGCACGCCAUUCCACACAUACAUCUGCGGCGCCAUUGUAGAGCAGGCGGCGCAGCUGCAGACAAACGCAUGUUCGUCUUCAGCCACCGGUGGCGGGACCGGAAUCGCCGCUGGCAGUACAGGUACCCCGCCCGCGUCCCUCUCGACGGCCGCACUCGCAGUGAGGCCGGCCAUGUACGCCCCUGUCCAGCGUCUGCUGUCGCGCGAGAUGUCGCGUGGGGCGUGCAGCGCGACUGAGGAAAGGGACCGCGGACUAGCGCAGCCGUCCAUGGUCAGCGGUGACGUCGAUGCCGAGGGCGCCCGCGCGUGCAGCGAGGAGGACGAGGGGUACGCCCACGGCGGAGCGGAGGCGGCAGAGGCGGCGGGCGAGGGCAGCAAAGAUGACGAUGCCGAGGGCGGCCUCGAAAGCGUGCGCGACCUCGGUGGUAUGAAGCCCGCCACGAAGCCGCUCACAGCCGACGCGCUGGCGGCUGCGCGUGAUGCAUCCAACACGACGACUCCCCCACCUCGUCCCGGCACCACACUCACAGACAGCUCUCUCCGCUCGAUCGGUGGUCGGCCCCACCACCUGCACCUGCUCGCCCACCACCACAGCCACCACAUGCGACGAUCGACUCCCGCCUCAGGCGUGUCAUCGCCCUCGGUGCCGAUACAGCACCACUGUCACGCCUAUCAUGGCACCUCGCCUUUUCUGCAACCAGCCUCGCUGGCUUCCAGUUGUACCGCGUUUCUCUCGGCAGGUGGCGGCGCAGCCGCGAACAAAUACGCUCAGUCUCCGGAAAGCGGCUCGAGCGCAGCGCUGCCGCCGCGGCUUCCCAGCGGAGGUGGGGGCAGCACACCGCACCUGCACCGAGCUGGCGGCGGGUCGCGUGAGGGCAGCGGCGCCGCUGCGACCAUGCAGCAGCCGCCUUCUAUGGUUUCCUACCCCCACCGCUACCCCAAUCAGCCCUCGUUUGAUCUAGACGGUGGCCGCUGUGCCGUCGUGAUGGAGGGGGCAUCAGGAGACGCGGAGGACCACUUGCAGUACUGCUACCAAGGAAACAACACUCGUGCCUGCAACACCACGAAACUGUCUCUCCGCCAACAGCAGCAGCAGAGUACAGGGGCUGAGGCCGCCAUCAGCGGCCGUCGUGCCGGCCCCGGCGUUACCUCGCUGACGUCCUCGCCCGCCACCGUGGUGUGCGGCUCCACGUUUCUCAAUACACCCAGCCAAAGCAGCCUCCUCCUCUCGAACGGUGCAACGGCACGGCCGGGGUCUGCGACGCCGUCGCCGACCAUACAGCAGCACCAGCACCAACGGAUCGCCAACAGUGGCGGCGCCAGUCGUUUCGCGACGAGCCCAGACGGUGGUGGCCAGCAAGGCAGCAUGAAUGGACCAGCGAACAACAUUAGCAGCACCGGCGGCAGCAGCCAUCGCGUUGGUUCUCCCGCGCACAACCGCUACACCAGUCCCACGCACACGAAUGGUCACCACGCCGGCGGCAGCCAAAUCAACUUGCAAGCAGGCGGGCGCUACCCGAUGCCGGCGACGCGUCCGCCCUACAUCUACGAGCACCAUGUGGGGCAGGAGCUACUUCUGGAGGAAUUUCACGCCGCAAUGCGCUUCAACGCCGCGUCUUUUGGCAAUAUUGCGUGCCUCGUGGACGCUUUCUCCCCGCAGGUGCCGGUGGCAAGCGAUCUCGAGUUCCCUUGCAACGAGGACCACUGCCAGCUUAUCUGCACCCGCGGCAGCAGAGGGCUCUCUUCGUCGCCUGGCGGCGGCAGCAGUCAGCACGGUUCCGCGCAGGGCAGUCGCAGCAGCCGUGGCGGUACAUUUCUCGCCCUCCAGAGCGAAGACGCGCGCGCCACAGGCGGAGCAGGACACAACAGCACGGGCGGCGGCGGUGGCGGCCAGGAAGGGCCAGCGCUGCCGCCACUGCGUCCGGCGCAAGCAGAUCGGACGCACUACUGGGACUUUUCCGGCCCCUCCUACUGUGAGCCGGUCAUGACGCUCAAGUCCAUCUGGCAGAGUUUCGAUAGCCCGUUCGGCUGCGUCGUGAACCUCGCCGAGCCUAUCUACCCGGCGCCGAUGCGACCUGCUGAGGGCGAGCUGGUGUAUACACCGCUUCUGAGCGGCUUUCGCAUUCGCUUCCACCCAGCCUCACCGGCGUACAAGCGUCUCACCGCGCUGCGCGAGGUUCGCCGCCAGCGGCGUCGGGAGGAGGCUGCGGCCAGUGAGAGCGUCGGUGUGUCAGCGGAAGAUGAGCAUGCCACCACUGGCGUGGAAGGGGUGGCCCGUGGCGGCGGCAGCAGUCAUACAGCAGGCUCCUACGCGGAGGAGGAUGGCGUACUCACGUGGAGCGCCACCGACCGGCCUAACAAUCGGAACAUUAUCGUGGAGCAGAUCGUGGAGCUGGCGAAGUGCGACGAGAGCUACGCAGAGCUGCUGACCGCCACUACGGCAGAUGUUGACCACCAGUCGUGGGUGGCGCUCAUGUGGCAGCCUGUGUUCUGUGGCGGCCAUUCCUCGAAGCACAGCUGCGGCACCUUCCUCGCCUACUACCUCCUUCGAGCACCGCGGCACCUGUUCGUCCCGUUCGCGGAUAAGAGUGAAGGCGCAGCGAUGAACAGCUCGUGGAACAGCCCCGUCUUUCGCGGCGACCGUGCUGCGCUCUCCUUUGACCUCUGGAGCCUGCAGAGGCACUACCAUGUCGCGCGCUGGGUCUCGCCGCCGCCGAUGACGCACAUUAUGACGGCGCUGUCCGUCGACGGCGAGGACGAUGAGCCGGACAACGGCUCGUCCUCGUGCGCGUCCACCAGCCGCGGCCGCAAUUCGUGGGAAGAGGGGCAAACCGGCUGCGCGUCGAACCGCACCACGGAGAGCUUCGCCUUCAGUACCAACGGCGACUCGCGUCUGCGUCUCCGCGACGCCUACAUGGGCAGCACCGGCGCAGGCGCUGUCGUCGGCGGGGAAAGCAGCAGCACCACGAUCGCCGGCGCCGUCGCCGCCCCGCACACCACGACGGGCACCGCGAACGCAGCAGCCUGCCCAACAAGAGCAAAGGCGUCGACGUACGUGCGCAUUCCUCUUGUUGGCCUGAUCCCGAACCGAUGCCGCUCCGAGGUGUGGUUCAAGCCCGUGUAUGACGCAUCGCUGAUGGACGUGCAUCGCCAUGGUGGCGGUAGCGGAGGUGUGAUGGGCGGCGGUGAUGGAGUGGGAGCUGGUGCUUCCGGUGUUGGUGCUGGCAUGGGGGCCUCGAACGGACUCGGUGGUGCCGGGGGGGGCGGCAGCGGCGCUGGAGGCAAUGUGGGUGACAACGGCGACCACACAGGCCUCUACGCCUUUUACGCACCCCUCUUCCUCAUCGUGACGGCGUUGCAGCUGAUGUGCUGGGACGCCUACAACGAGUGGGAGCGCAAGUCGCCCACUUGCGCGGCCGCAGCUGGUCGACCGUCGGCGUUCUCCGAGGUGAGAAGAGAUGCAGGGGACUCUGAGGCGGCCAUUGGCGGGGCUUCUGGUGCGGCUGGCACCCCCUCCUCGUCCUUCGCUCCUUCGCCUGCGACGGCAGAGGAGGCAAUUGUGGCUGCGCAGCGACAGCAGCAGCAGCAGCAGUCGGACUACGAAUCAGAAGCCACCGCCGGUGCUGGAACCGGAGGCGGAAAUCCAAGCAGGGGCGCGGCAACUCAUCGCAGAAACCCGUGGUCCUCCUACGUUGCUAAAGGUGUCGAGCUGAUGACGGAUGCGGCCCGGCAGUAUCGCGCAGUGCGCGAGGUGGCUAACCUCGACGGCAGCGCCGAGGAGGGCACCAGUGGCUGUGCUGUAGUGUUCAGCAGCGGUGGCUGUGCUGCGACGACGAGCGAAGGGUGUAUCGGCAGUGCAGAGGAGAAGCGGCCGGUUGACGGGGACAAGAGCGUGGCGAAGCAGCAGCGUGGUGGAUGCGCGGUUGUGGCCGGCGGAACAAGCAGCUCUCUCUGCGACCCGGCUGCUCGCGUGAUUGCAGGGCUGCUCGACUACUAUCAGUGGGCGCAGUACGAUACCUCUCUUACGGCACUCGCAGCCGCCUACUGUGCCACAUAAGAUGUGCUCAAGCAAAGAGACCCGGUGCGCAUACGCAUGUGCUUGACGUACUGCCGCCCAGCAUUUUCGUUCCCUCCCUCUGUACCACAGCUACUGCCCCUGGCCCUCCCCUCCGCUGCUCUCCUUGGGCGAGUACUGUCUUGCACGCAGCCGUUGUCGACACCAUCUGUUUCUCUUCCUCCGUUCCGUACUCAGCCCCCACCUUUCUCCUCCGAUACACACACACACACACAUAAUGCGUUCGUGACCGUCGCAGUUGCGCCUCGUGGCUGUUUUCUAUCUUCAUCGCUUACUUCUUUUUGUAGUUUGUCGACUAUCCUCCCCCUUCUCACUUCAGCUGUGCGUGUGUGUGUGUGUGUGCAUGGAUGCCGUUGCACUUUACCGACGUUGUGGCUUGUUUCUGCAGUGGCGCGCGCGUAUGUCUUCUCUCUCUGUGCCCCCUCCCCUCUCUUCCCUUUCGGACCCUCUUCUCUUCUCCGUCUUCUCCGCUCCGCCGCGGCCAUUCCCCCAUGGCCGUUGAGUACAGGAGUAUCAGGGACAGCACAAC
rnacentral:misc_RNA from 1 species